rnacentral:rRNA from 1 species
GACGUAGGGGACGAGCGUUGUCCGGAUUCAUUGGGCGUAAAGGGUGCGUAGGCGGCGCGGUAAGUCGGGUGUGAAAUUUCGAGGCUUAACUUCGAAACUGCAUUCGAUACUGCCGUGCUAGAGGACUGGAGAGGAGACUGGAAUUUACGGUGUAGCGGUGAAAUGCGUAGAUAUCGUAAGGAAGACCAGUGGCGAAGGCGGGUCUCUGGACAGUUCCUGACGCUGAGGCACGAAGGUCAGGGGAGCAAACGGG